rnacentral:rRNA from 1 species
UACGGAGGGGGCUAGCGUUGUUCGGAAUUACUGGGCGUAAAGCGCACGUAGGCGGCUUUGUAAGUUAGAGGUGAAAGCCCAGGGCUCAACCCUGGAAUUGCCUUUAAGACUGCAUCGCUUGAACAUCGGAGAGGUAAGUGGAAUUCCGAGUGUAGAGGUGAAAUUCGUAGUAUUCGGAAGAACACCAAGUGGCGAAAGGCGACUUACUUGGACGAUUGUUGACGCUGAGGUGCGAAAGCGUGGGGAGCAAACAGG